UCUUCAUUAAAAUUGAUAUUUUUAUUGAAUAAUUUUUAAAACAUUAAAUUUAUAUUAUACAUUGCUUAUUGUGUGCCAUGUCAUUAAGCCACCACCUUCUACCAUCAUCGUUUUCAUCUUCACCGCUACAAGACCUUCGUGCUGCCAUGGCGAAGCAAACCUACAAACCUAAACCACCAUCGCAAAGCCAAAUUGAAGUCUAGGACCUUCAUCACACAUCAGUUUAUCUUCCUGCACCACCAUAGAGACCCAAAUCAAAAUACAAAAACACCAAAAUCAUAGAACCCCAAAUCCCCAAUUUAUUGU
rnacentral:lncRNA from 1 species